rnacentral:rRNA from 1 species
GACGAACGCUGGCGGCGUGCUUAACACAUGCAAGUCGAACGGAAAGGCCCUGCUUUUGUGGGGUGCUCGAGUGGCGAACGGGUGAGUAACACGUGAGUAACCUGCCCUUGACUUUGGGAUAACUUCAGGAAACUGGGGCUAAUACCGGAUAGGAGCUCCUGCUGCAUGGUGGGGGUUGGAAAGUUUCGGCGGUUGGGGAUGGACUCGCGGCUUAUCAGCUUGUUGGUGGGGUAGUGGCUUACCAAGGCUUUGACGGGUAGCCGGCCUGAGAGGGUGACCGGCGACAUUGGAACUGAGAUGCGGCCCAGACUCCUACGGGAGGCAGCGGGGAGGAAUGUUGCACAAGGGGCGGAAGCCUGAUGCAGCAACGCCGCGUGCGGGAUGACGGCCUUCGGGUUGUAAACUGCUGUCGCCUGUGACGAAGCGGGAGUGACGGUAAUGGGUAAAGAAGCACCGGCUAACUACGUG